CCUCGACAUCGUGGCUCGACUACAUUGAAUUUGAAUUGAAAAACAAUUUUUCCUUUGUAAGUGUCACUCCAAUUUUGCUUAUAUGUCGUACGACCGAGGAAGCUCCCACCCCACCCUAUGGAGGAAAAGUUCGGAUUUUUCCAAUCGUUCGUCGUGCCAGAUGCUCGAUGAAGCCGCAGUCAGGCGCAUCGGAUCGAAUCUCCUCGCCGCGCGGGGCCAAAUCCAUACGGUAGUCGCGCCAACACACGAAUCUUCCCAGCAAUUUCCGGCACGCCGCAGCCAUCUUUCGAGUUCGCGCUGUCGCAGAGCGUAAUCCCAGGUUUCUACAUAAACCCACGCUCCUUAAACCCUGAUUUUACAGCAACAGUCCCCCCCAGCUCUCUGAUUCUUCUCGGGGGGAAGAAGGGAAAUGAAUCGCCGAGCUGCGGAGGCGCCCGUUUCGGCUCGUGACGGUUCGAGCUUGUUCAGGAGUCCAUCAUUAAGCUGCUUGCUCUGGUUCUUUUCGAUUGGAGGGAGUGUUGGCAGAUGUAACGCAACAACGGGAAGGCUUUGACUGAUAAUUUACGUCUUAUGUUUUGCCUCUCCGAGUUAUUGCUGCAGUAUCUGCCUCUUGGAGGGGGAUUUGAGAAUGUCUACAAGUCAGACCAGCAAAACACCUAGAAGGAGUCAACCUUCAAUCCAGUACCAAUGUAACAGAGUUGAGCAGGCAACCUUUGAGUUUGCUGAUUUUGUCCACAAAGAGGGUGUCCCUGCACAUGCUGAAACUUUUCAGCAGGAAAAGGCUGAUUGCAAGUCCAAAUCAUCUGAAAUACUGAGCACUUCUGAACUCAUCUCAGCAUUUGGCCAUGCAUGGGACUAUACAAGUCGUUCUCUUGCAGUUUUACAACAAAAAACGAACUUAAGUUACAAAGUCUCUGGCGAGAAGGAAGAUAUCUUGCAUAAUGUGAAAUUGCAACAAAAUGGCUGUACAUCUACUUUGCCUAAAUGUAAUCAUUCUGACAUCAACUUAACAGAGAUGCGGCAACUGUACCUAGACAUCCUUAGGAUAACUAACAGAACAUCAGUGCUUAAACUUAACAGGGAGAGCACUGGGCAGUAUCAAUCACCGGUACGGAAUUUUACUGGGGAUAUGACCAAUUUGCUUAAUGGACCUAGGGAUGGAAAAGGGAUUUCGUGUUUGGGGAUCUCAUCUGGACUGGGACUUAUUUAUGGCUGGAUGAAUGAAUUGAUACCUGCUGAGGCCAAACAUCCUUUCAAGACUGCUAUAUCUGAUAGUGAAAAAGCUGGUAAAUACUUUUGUGGAGAAAUAGUUACUCCACCGCAAGAUCUUAUGUCACGAGAUAAAGGCCCCAAAAGCUUCAUAGAUAGUGGAAAUGCUGAUUCUUACACCCCCUCUAUCCAAUCCAAGGAUUUGCCAGUGGAUAACAACGCAAAAUUGAUCUUGGACAAGAAGGAAAGCACCUUAUUGCUUUCGGAUUAUUACCUCAAAGUGGCCAAUAUUGAGGCAGACAGCUGUAUCUCAAAAGCUGCAUCUUCUACACUUCAUGCAGAUCAUCAUCUAAAAUUUGUAGCAUCUGAAAAAGGUGAAUGCAAACUUGACUAUGAGAGCACUAACGGUAUUGAAUUCUUUCCUGAAAGAAAGGAAGAGGACAAUCAUCGUCCUGCCCAGGAAGAGCAUACCAUGAAGAUACACUGUCUGGGACAUGAUAAGCCUCAGGCUGCUGUUGCCAAGGAAGAACAUGCAUUUGCUGGGGCAUUUAGUGGCAUCUUUGUCAGCCUUUGUCUUCACCCAGUAGAUACAAUCAAAACUGUCAUUCAGUCUUACCGUGCAGAGCAGAAGUCUCUUUGCUAUAUUGGAAAAUCAAUUGUUUCUGAGAGAGGUCUAACUGGACUAUAUCGAGGUAUCUCAAGCAAAAUUGCAUCUUCAGGUCCAAUUUCUGCAAUUUAUACUUUCACAUACGAGUCGGUAAAAGGCGCUUUACUUCCUCUUUUCCCCAAGGAGUAUUACUCCAUCACACAUUGUAUUGCAGGUGGUUGUGCAAGCAUUGCUACCUCUUUUGUCUACACUCCUAGUGAACGCAUAAAGCAGCAGAUGCAAGUGGGCUCUCACUAUCAUAACUGCUGGAAUGCGUUGGUUGGAAUAAUCACAAGAGGUGGUAUGCCUUCUUUAUAUGCUGGUUGGGGAGCUGUGCUCUGUAGAAAUAUUCCCCACUCAGUGGUCAAGUUCUAUGUUUAUGAGAAUCUAAAGAUGUGGACGCUUUCCUCACUCCCACCCGGUGCUCAACUGAACACCUUGCAGACGCUUGUUUGUGGAGGACUAGCAGGAUCUACUGCGGCUUUAUUUUCAACUCCUUUUGACGUAGUGAAGACAAGAUUACAAACUCAGGUUUGGUGGGAUUUCAUUGCGUAUGUAUAUCUGUAUGUAACACAAUCUAUACACAAAGUAAGGGGUGAUGUUAAGUGAAGAUCUCAUCAAUUCCAUGGUCAGCUUUUCUUUUUUCAGUACAAAAUGAUAACAAAAUGAGAAGUAGGUGGAGACUGUCCAUUUGUGUGAAUUCUGAGUCGGCAAUUUGAUAGAAUGGAUAGUAUAAAUCACCAGCACCUGGACAUAUGAACACAUGAAACUUUGGUUUUGUGGAAAUGUUAAAAAAAGAAAAAAAGAAAAGAAAGGCAUUGUGAAGUAAGGACAAUUAUACACUUGGGGGAUGGUGGUUUGUUUGUCUAUGAUGAUCAUUUUCUGUAAAUCAGCUAAAAAUAAAUUACACUUAAGUACUUCCAAGGGUCUUCCGCUCAUCGAUGCAAUAUUUACUUCUGCAUGUCCACUCUCUUCUUAUUUCACAGCAGCCAUAACUGAGUUUUCUGUAAUUGUCCAUUUAUUUAGGAAUCACUGAACCAUGUACACUGUUAUUUGGCAGUUAUUUCUGCAAUUGAUUAAUAAUCAGAGGAAUGCAGAGUAAAUCAACAUGACUCACCUCAAUUUUAAGAAAUACGCAAAAUCAUGCCAACCAUUUAUUUGGGGUUUCAUAGCAGUAUAAUUCAAACUCUUUGUCAGCUUAUGAAAAAGAAAUUAAUUUUCUUUCUUGAUAUUGAGAUUAUGAAAGCUAAUGAGCUUGGAUCUGUAAAUGGGGCUUUACAGCCUUCUUCAGAAAACUGUCAUAUCAAUCGACAUAUGAAUUGAAUCAAUUGCUUUCACUAAAGCAUGUUUUGGAUGAUAAUUUGGAGAUAAAAACAUCUUAUUUGGAAUUCAUUUUUGAGGUUACUAAAGCAAUCUGCCAUCUUCCCUGGGCAGUAAAAUAUAGCAGUGAGGUUUGAAGUGUUUGUUCAUUUCAGAGUUGAAAGUUAGAUUUGAUGCUAGUAUCAUGAGCCUGUAAUCUCAAUCCAAAGUAACAUAUCAGGUUGGAAUUAUUAGUUAACCUGAUGAGCUUCUCAAAAGCUAGUUACUUUGCAGAUACCUGGUUCUAUUCGUCCCUAUAAUGAUGUUUUCCAUGCCGUUCGAGAAAUAGGCCGGCAUGAAGGGUUGAAAGGCCUCUACAGGGGAUUGACUCCAAGACUUAUUAUGUACAUUUCUCAAGGAGCGCUAUUCUUUGCAUCAUAUGAG